rnacentral:tRNA from 1 species
UGCGGGGUGGAGGAGCUCGGUCGUCCUCGCCGGUCUCAUACGCCGGAGCAUCGUGGGUUCGAAUCCCACCCCCGCGA